rnacentral:rRNA from 1 species
AUUGAACGCUGGCGGCAGGCCUAACACAUGCAAGUCGAGCGAGCGCCGGUCGGGAGAGUAAUGCCUUGGAAUCUGUCUCGUGGUGUGGGAUAACGUCUGGACAUGGGCGCUUAUACCGCAUACUUUCAUCGGUGCCUAGGUGGGAUGAGCUCGUUGGUGGGGUAGAGGACGACCAGGGCGACGAUCCGUAUCUGGUCUGGGAGGAUGACCAGCCAGACUGGAACUGAGGCACGGUACAGACGCCUCAGGGAGGCAGCAGUGGGGAAUAUUGCACAAUGGGCGCAAGCCUGAUGCAGCCAUGCCGCGUGUGUGAAGAAGGCCUUCGGGUUGUAAAGCACUUUCAGCGGUGAGGCGGUACCCGCAGAAGAAGCACCGGCUAACUCCGUGCCAGCAGCCGCGGUAAUUC